UACGGGGGGGGCAAGCGUUGUUCGGAAUUACUGGGCGUAAAGGGUUUGUAGGUGGCUUGCUAAGUCAGACGUGAAAUCCCUCAGCUUAACUGGGGAACUGCGUCUGAUACUGGCGAGCUUGAGUGCAGGAGAGGAACGCGGAAUUCCAGGUGUAGCGGUGAAAUGCGUAGAUAUCGUAAGGAAGACCAGUGGCGAAGGCGAGUUUCUGGACAGUAACUGACGCUGAGGCACGAAGGCCAGGGGAGCAAACGGG
rnacentral:rRNA from 1 species